AUGGCAGAGCCAGAACUAGAACCCUGGUCUCUUGUCGUCCUGGGCUGAAGGACUCUGAAAGAGCUGCUUCAUCCCUGGGAGCCUCGGGACCCUCACAUAUGAAGGGGGGGCCUCAGAGGUAAAGUGGAGGGGCCGAUUCCUCUUUUGAAUGGAGGGUCACAUGUCCCCCUGGAUAUAAAAAGAAGAUGAGGUCCCGCGCAAAUUGUUUUGCAGAGAGAAUGAGCUAUCGGGAAAGGCAUUCUGAACAACAGCGUAAACAAAGGCAGGAAGGCAAGGGAGAGCAGGCUCUGUUUCAGGGCAGCUGUGGCUGGGGAAGAAACAGGAAAUGAAGUUAAAAUCUCAGGCUUCUUGGACAUGUCAGAGGUACCCCUUGUCCCGCGGAGUGUCCAGCCCUCCUUUCUGGGGUAAUGACCCUUCAGAACUCAGCGUCCCCGUGGACUCAUUCUGGCUCUUGAGGCUGAUCAGCCUGCUGGGACAAGAUGGACUAGGCAAGGCUGACCCCUCUGCUGGGAAGAGUGUCACAGAGUCCUCUCUCAACAAACCUCUCCCUCCUUCAAGACCCAGCUGCCAUGCCACCUCUUCCAUGCAGCCUUCCCAGAUCUCCCAAAUAGAAAAGCUGACUUCUUCCAGGAAUGCCCUGUGCUUGUCUUAUGUUGUUGUCUUAUCUUUUUUCUUCAUUUUUCUCUCUUAUCCUUUUUCAUGCUCACUGCAACUAAUGACAUAAUGCAACGAUUAAUAAAAAAAAUCAGUAGGGACGCCUGGGUGGCUCAGUGAGUUAAAGCCUCUGCCUUCGGCUCAGGUCAUGAUCCCAGGGUCCUGGGAUCGAGCCCCACAUUGGGCUCUCUGCUUGGCGGUGGGCCUGCAUCCCCCCUCACCCGGCCCGCCUGCCUCUCUGCCUAUGUGUGAUCGCUGUCAAAUAAAUAAA